rfam:Musa acuminata subsp. malaccensis Doubled-haploid Pahang (DH-Pahang) genomic chromosome, chr5
ACAAUGGAUUUUUUUAAAUCUAUAUGAUAGAUUCUAUAAAGGAUAG